ensembl:lncRNA
UCUUGAUCCCGUUCAUUCCGUCUGCCCCUUUGCAUCGGCCCUCUGCCCCUGCACCAACUCCCUGGCGAAUAAAACAAAAUUCAGGAGGAAAAACAAAACAAAACAAAACAAAAAAAACAGAAGAAAAUAAAAUGAGAAAAAUAAUAAAGGAAGGACCUAAAAAUCUUGUCAAACUCUUCCUAACCCUAGAGCAUGACGAUUUCUUUCCUGGCUCUUCCUAGAAGCCUGUGCUGCAUCUGAGGUUAAAUUUUAUAUGGCAAGAUGCUUCUCCCCCGAAAUAUUUCAGUUGCUCAGAACUGUUCAUUGAAGAGACCUCCUCCCCUGCAUCCAGAUGCUUCCACACCCAUUUCAAACUCACACAUGUUGCAUGGUCUCUCUGGGCUUUGUGAGGUUGUUACAUGCCUGUCCCACAAAAGGUCCCAUCCAGUCUCUACGGCUGUAGCCCACUAUUUAGAUGGCAAGCCUUAAAGUUGUGUAGACGGAUUCCUCCCACUUCGUUUUUUCCAUCCCAAAAUGGUUUCAGCUAUUCUUGUUCCUUUGCCUUUCCCUAUGAAAAGUAAGCUUGUCUAUAUUCAUAAAAAUUUUCCUGCAGUUUUGAUGGGAUUUAUGCUAAACCUGUAUAUACAUUUGAAAGAUAAUUAACAUCUUUCCUCUUUGAAGCCUCCCAAACUAUAAACACAGCAUGUCUCUGCACUUAUUUAGAUCUUUGCUUUCUCUUAACAGAGUGAGUUGUACAGCCUUCAAUAUACAGAGUGGCUGUAAUCUGACUCCCGGUAUGGUUUGCAACUGAAAUGUUCACAGGUUCGAGUUUCUGGUGCUUGAUCCCCAGCUUGGGAAGAUGGUGGCGUGAGGAGGCUUUUGGAAAUGGUUCAUGGAAGAGUUUGGAGGUGUAGGCUAGAAUAGCCCUAAGAUGCUGUAAAUAGAGCAUAAUGGGUGAUUCUGGUGGGAGUUCAAGAUGCCAGCACUCGAGCAGAAAUGUGGACAGAAAAGACCACGAGGCUUCAGGUGGGAGCAAACUUGUGGCUAUUUGUAUCACACUCUGACAAAGAAUAUGAUUAUCUUAGAUUUUUCUAUUGCUGUGGAGAAACACCAUGAUCAGAACAACUGGGUAGGAAAGGAUUUAUUUGGCUUACACUCCCUUCACUACUGAAGGAAGUCAGUGCAGGAACCUGGAGGCCAGAGCUGAUUCAGAAGCCACAGAGGGGUGCUGCCUACUGACUGGCUCAGUCUGCUUUCUUAUAGAACCCAAGACCACCAGACCAUGGACGACACCACCCACAGUGGGCUGGACCCCACAUCAAUCAUUAAUUAAGAAAGUGCCAAAGUUUUGCCUACAGCUUGAUUGUAUGGAGGCAUUUUCUCAAUCGAGGCUCUCUCCUCUCAGAUCACUGUAGCUUGUGGAAAAUUGAUAUAGUAGCCAGCACAAUGGGCUAUGUUCUGCCUGUGACUUGAAAAUUUCAGUUUGAGGCCAAUUAGUUUAAUGGAGAAAUUUUAAGACAGUGCAGUCAUUGGGCUGUAGCGUGAUUUUAGCUGGGCACAUUUAUCCAAGUUUACAGUGAGAGUCAGAACAAAAAGCAAGCAGAAAGCUUUGAUAAACACAUGGUUAGGGAAUGUGUUUAAAGCUGUAGACAAAUCAAAGGUAAACACAGAGGCUGAGAUUGCCCACGAGUUUAGUACCAUCAAACAGAAGCCAUUCACUUUGUAUUGGGGCAAUAGGCAGACUGCCUUCAGGACAAGACCCCUCCCAUCAAAGGCUGGGAUAUAAAUAAAGGCAAACUCACUUGAAACUUUUCCUUUGAAGAGACAGUUGUUGGGUGUCCUUCUGGAAAGGGGCCAUCUGGGGUCUUUUUCCCCAAGUUCAGCCAUGAAGUCCCUCCAAGGCUGUGACUGCUGUCUAUGGGGUUCUGGCUACAUCUUGAGCUGGCAGAAGAACUUGGCAGUAUCUAUGUGGCAUUAAGUUUUCAGGUGUGAAAAUGACAAGAGUUACAGGGUCAUAGAAGUCUUGUAGCUUUGGGAGAAAAACCUAGGAGUGAGCAGGGCCAGAGUCCCUGCAGGGAGCACAGAAUAGCAAGAUGCAUGAAACUGUGAGGAUGAAGCCUAAGCCACAGUGGAGACCUGAGGAUGUGGAGAUAGGUGUGAGGAGCAUGGAGUUUCUGCCGAGGAUACUGCAGGCAUUGAGGAGCCCCAGUCCAGCUGUGGAGAAUGGAAACAUUGUGGAGGUUCCCAAACUAAUGUGCCAGUGAUUCUCAACCUGUGUGUGGGUCAUGACCACUGGGGGUGUGAAAGGACCCUUUCACAGGGUGCUGCCUAGGACCAUCAGAAAACACGGAUAAUUACAGAACAAUUCGUAACAGUAGCAGGAGUACAGUUAUGAGGUAGCCACGAAAAUAAUUUUAUGGUUGGCGGAGGGUCACCACAACAUGAGGAACUGCAUUAAAGGGUCUCAGCAUUAGGAAAGUUGAGAAGCAUUUGAUAUCUGGAUGCUAGACACAGAGUUGAAGUGUUUGAUGUUUUCCUUGCUGGGUUUUGGCCUUUCUUUGGUUCAAUCUUUCCUUGUUAUCCUUUGUUUCCUCCCUUUUAGGAUGGGAGUGUUUGGCGUGUACCACUGUAGAGUGGAAGUACACAAAUCCCUUUGUGAUUGCACAGGAGCUUAUCACUUACCCUCUAAGCCUUAGAGGGUACCUGGUAUCUCAGAAGAGACUUCAAACUUUGGGCUUCUCAAGUGCCAGUGCUGCCCAGGCUGUGGGGAAUUCAUGAAUUCUUACUGGGUGUGUUUUGCAUUUUGAGAUGGCCAUGAAACUUUGGAGAACAAAGAUUGUAUGUUGUGGUUUCCAUCUAGAGAGAACUUAUGUUUUAAACCCUUAUUCCCCAGCUGGUGAUGUUUUGGGAAAAAGUAGGGAUCGGGCGGCUAACAGAAGUUAGCCAUAAGGUAUAGACUUUUCCAGAGUAUGGCCUCGCACUGGUGCUGGGAUUCUUUGCUUCCUUCCUGGUCCAUGGGGUGUGAGGAUCUUUUGCUAAAUGCUCCCACCAUGGUGGAUCGAGCUACUUUGCCUUGCUCUCCCCACUGAAGAUGAACUGAAAAUCCCCUGUAAUCAUGAGUCAAAACCAACCUUUUCCUCUUAAAUAUGUUUGCCUUAGCAACCCAAAGCAAACAAUAGACUCCCUGAAACUAAUAUGUUAAAACCUGGUUUGCCAUAGCAACACAAAGUAAACAAUAGACCCCCCCUCAAGUUAAUACAUUAAAACCUGGUUUGUCUUAGCAGCACAAAGUAAACAAUAGGAGUCCUCGAAUUAACACAUUAGAACCUGGCUCCCAAUUGUAAUCAUCUUAGGAGGUCCCACAGGCUUCUGGGAGAUGACUUGGUCAUGGCUCUGGCCGGUUCCUGGGAUGGUUAGUCUUGGUUUUCAACUUGACUGGAUCGUCAAUCAGCUGAGAGAUGAGCUGCUGGAGGAUUUUAUUAAUCACGUUGUCUAAAGUGGAGGAUCCAUCCUGGGUGUGGAUGCUACCUUUCUGUGGCAGUCCAGAUAACAGGGCCGAAGGGCGAAGCUUUGCUGUUCGCUUCAUUGCCUUCACACCUCACUGGUGAAUUGAGUUCAUCUACCUCUGUUGCUUCCGCUGCUGCUGCUGCUGCUUUUGGAUUCCUUCACUGAUGGCAGAACCUGGGUUCCAUUGCUGACUGAAGAGUAGGCUCAGCCUGUCUACCCUGAAGACAGCCACUGAUGGACUACCCAGACUGUAUCAUGUAAGCAGAUCUGAUAAACACCAUCGGAGUCUAUUCUGUAGGUAUUCUAAAGAACCCCGAGUAAUACAGGAAUAAUAACAACCUGAUAAAACAGGACACAGGGAACUUGUUUACUGUCCCGCAUGCGAGGACACAGCCGGAGAAUGCCAUCUGUGAAGCAGAGAGCAGCUCUCUCCAGACACUGAAUCUGCUGGUGUUUUGAUCUUGUACUUCCCAGCCUCCCAGACCAUGAAAAAUGAAUUCCACUCAGGCUGAUGAGUUUUUACUACAGCAGCCCAAAUGAACUGAGCCAAAGUCCAGACCAUGUAAAGUGUUGUUACAUUUACCCACAAACGUUUCCUGUUUCGUUUUCCUUGAGUGAUUGUGAAGGUAGCCAAUGUUUUGUUUAAAUGUGCGCGUCAUAUCCAGUAGUAUAUAGAAACAAAACACAUUUGUUUUGUCACUGGAAACAUUGUUGAAUCCACCCAUUGGUUCUAGCGGUAGAGCUUUGGAAGUUACCACAAUCAUGCCAAAUGCUAAGAAGACUCCUUUCUUCUCCUUUUUCCAGUCUGAUAUCCUUUACCUCACCUGUUUUGGUUGUGUUGAAUUGCCUCUAGUCUUGAGUUGGAAAGGAUGGUUGAGGAAAAGUACUUUUUGAUGGAUCUGAACUCCAGUCCUCUGCAAGGGGACUUAAGUGCUCUUAACUGCCGAGCCAUUUCUCUAGGCCCUGGACGUGUCUUCUCAAUCAGGCUUACUUCAUCUCCUCUCUGGGAUCUUGUUCUAACAGCGGUCUUAGAUUGGAAGGGUCCUUGGAGAUGAUGAGAGUACUUUUCUAGGUGAAGGCACUGAAUUCCAGCAGACUGCAGUGCUGUGUUUCUGGUUGGCCAGGGAAGUGGAGAUAGAAAGCCUCUUGUAGUUCAACAGUAUACACUGAGUUUCCAAUUGUUGUCGUUCCUUUCUUUUGUAAAAACAGAUGCAUUUGGCUUUGUUUAAUGUAUAUGAAUACUCACCUGCACACAUGUCUGUGCAUCACUCAUGUGCUGUGGAUGACAGAAGAGGGUGUCAGAUUCCCUAGAGCUGGAGUUAUAGAUGGUUAUGAGCCACCGCGUAGAUCCUCUGCAAGAGCAGCAGCCUGGCUGCUCACACAGUAAGUAUAGUAGUUACUUUUCACUAUAACAAAUUACCCAGCAGAGGCAACCUAAUGGAGGAAGGGUUUAUUUGACUUAGGAUUUUAGGGCAUCCAGUCUGAGGUCACUCGGCCCAGGUGCUCGCUCAGGUGGCAGAAACAGGUAUAGGGGAGAGCACCCUUCACUUCAUAUAGGCCAGGAGACAGGUGGCCUCCAUGUUCUCUUUAUAUUCUGUCAGGGAAUCCCUCAGCCCAUGGGAUGGUGUUGCUCACAUUCAGAGUGAUUCUCUCUUCCUUAGUUAACCCUCUCUGUGGCACACCUAGAGGUGGGCCUCACCAUCUCCCAGGUGAGUCUAAAGACCAUGAAACUGACAGUGAAGAUUGCCACCACAGUGAGAAAUUGAUGCUGAGGAAGACUGACUUGGUUGCCCAAGGUCUCAUUCAGAAUCGCCUCAUUUGUGGCUGUGUUGUAUUGUUUCCCAGUGAAAGAAGCUUUGAUUGUCUUUAGCUAUUGUGCAUUCUGGGGGGUAGCAGGGCAUUCUCCAAAGGUCAGGUGAUUCCUCCUCGUGUGCACGUGACCCUUCCCUCACCGAUUUGAGGACUCGCAGAGGGAAGGGGAAUACAUUUACUUCUGGCUCCACAUGACUGGGGAGGGGUGAGAAAUGAAGAGGAUGAUUCAGCCAUAUUAUUUUCCUUUUCCUGAAAGAAAACUCAUUAUUAGAUCAACAGUUUAACUAUUAGGCUAUGUCUUAAUUAUAACCCAGGCAUUACAGUUCUUAGGAAAAGAUAUGAUUAGAACAAAAUUAAGAUAUGGCAUCCGGCAUCAGUUUCUUACCCAAGCACCAUUCUAAAUUGCGCUGUGUCUAAGCUUUGCUUUUCUUUUGUUUCCCAAGUGAUCCCAGGAAUUGUGAACCUUUUUCCCCCCAGGGCAAAAAUAUAGGAUCUAUGAUAGCCAUUGUAGGUUUUUGUGUUGACAUAUUCAUUAAGGAAGGCAAUUCUCUGAACAUGACUACUUUACCUAUGUUUGGAGUUACUCAUAAUUGACCUCUAAUUUUUGUUCAUUGUUCAUCCAUCCAUCUGUCUGUCCAGCCAUCAUCCACUCAUAUCUAUACGUCCACCCAUCCACCCACCCAUGCAGCUUCUCUUUCAUUAAUCCAUGAUUUAGUGGAUGCCUUCUUUUAAAAUUCACGUUAUUAUUAUCUUUUGUGUGUAUGUUUUUUUUUUUUUUUGCCUGCAUGUAUGUACAAUACAUAUGUGUCUGGGAUCCAUGGAGGUUAGAAGAAGGUUCUGGUCCCCUGGAAAUAGAGUUACAGAUGGUUGUGAGCUACCAGGUGGAUGCUGGACAUUGAACCCAGGUCCUCUAGAAGUGCAGCCAGUGCUCUUAAUGGCUGAGCCAUUUCUCCAGCCCCAGUAGAUACUUCUUAAUAUGAAUUCACUCUGCUCUACAUUCUACACAAAGUGUUCAGCAAAGAGAUGAAAUGGCUUGUCUGGUUUAUCAGUUAGGCAUUUCUUCCCUGAUAGGUUGUGGUCCAUUCUGGCAAAGGCAGAAAAAGUUCUUACUGCUCUACCUGCACCCCGAGAACCUGGCUUCGAGUGAAGUAUCUGUCCAACCAGUAUUUAUGAAGCUGUAUUGUCUACCCAGUAGGGCCUAAUUCCCUUCUAAAACAAACAUUGCUUUUCUCCAGCGAAGCUUCAUAGGACAUUUAAAAAGCACAGAGAGACAAUACUUUUAUCAGAGCAUGAAAGAGGAUAUGAGAGUGAAACACAUAGGGAUAUUGCUCCCAUGAAUAAUCAGAGGGUGUCGUCGUCGUCGUCGUCGUCGUCGUCAUUACCACAAUGUGGGUGGAUUUACCCCCACUCCUCCAGGAAUUUAAUUUACUCUUUACACGUUUAAUCUUCAUUAUCCUCUCAUAAUCCCUUUCUCUUUGCCACCCAUGCACAGCUCUGAUGGUCUCCUUGCUUCACAGACAGGAAAAGUGAACCCCAGAUUGGACUAGUGGCUCAAGACACCCCAUGUGGAGUGGGAGAAGCUGAGAUGUUGGGAUGUGACAGGUAUUUUAGAUUUUCAUAACAUUAGUCCCACAUCGCCAGCACAUCCUAUUGACUACCCAUCCAGCCUUUAGUAUGUAAAAUAUAUGCAUUAUCUUGCCUCCAAACCUUUAUUUCAAAACCAAAAACCUACAAAAAGCUGUAAGGCUAUGCAAGGAAGUAGAGAGGUAUAGCAUGUAUUUUGUGCAAUCCAGCCACAACUUCACUACAAUGGACUGUAUUCCACUAGGCCACACCCACAAAAGUCACCAGCUGCUUCUAACCAGGUGAUGGCUGCAGGGUGUGAAGGCAGAUGGCAGGGGAACACAGAAGAUGACCUGGCUGUCCCUGAGAGACACUGCAUCACUAGUAAUGUUCUAAAAUUACUGAAGUCAGCAGAGAGCACCAUACUGGAACAGACCACAGAGGAGAGCAAGGAACAAAGCCAGCCAGAGCAGCUGACAGAUAGUUCACACUGUCCAUAGACCAUGAGACUCCUGAUGUCCCAGCAUUAAACACACCAUAACACACACACACACACACACACACACACACACACACACACACACAUCUCACACCUGGAGAGAGGGCUGGAGAGCUGGCUCAGUGGUUACGAACACUUGUUGCUCUUGCAGAGGACCUGGGUUUGGUUUCCAGCACUCACAUGACAGCUCACAAACGUAACUCCAGUGUUCUGGAGUUGUAUUGUCUAUACAAUGGAGCCUGCUUCUCUUUUAAAACAACCAUCGCUUUUCUCUGUUGAAACUUCGUAGGACAUUUUAAAAGCACAGAGAGACAAUCCUUUUCAUCAAAGCCUGAGGGAGCAUGUGAGAGUGAAACACUGCUGUACUUCAACAUGUCUUAUUUACAUUCCGUAAUGUAAGAACUUUAUAUGCAUUAUUUUGUUCUCAAAUCUUUAUUUUAGCCCCCCCCCAAAAAAAGCUACACAAAGUUGUAGGAACAUAAAAGGAAGUAGAGAGAUGUGGAGAUUGAGGGUAUGUCCACCCACAUUACUGUGACUCCAGUUUCAGGGGAAAUGAUGCCCUCUUCUGACCUCUGUGGGUACCAUGCAUGUGAGUGAUGUACUUACAUACAAAACCUUCAUACCCCGAAAAUGAUGAAACAUAUAAAUCUAAAACAAAACUGAAAAUAUAAAAUGAAACAUCCAGUUCUAAAUGCUUAUUCUUUAUACUUAGCUUCAUAUUUUGUGUUUUCUGUAUAGAAUAUAUAUGUACACACAAAUGCAUAUUAAAUAUAUGUGUACACACACACACACACACACACACACACACACACAGUUUCUCUAUAAAUUACCUACCCUGCGGUGUAUGUAUUACAAAUAAUUCUGAAACUCUGGAACUCUAAAAUCAAGGCACCACCUGGAGAGGGUACCUCUUGUGUCUGUCAUCCACGGUGAAAUGCUAGAAAUGGGGGUGAAUUCAUCCCUUCAUCAGGAACUCACUCCUGGGAUAAUUUCCCUGUUCUCAUGGCACCUGCAUUAGUCCAUCAGUUUGGGUGGAGUCCUGUUACGACAAAUCUUUCCACCAUAAGCUGCCUGAGCCCCACCACCACCACGUGUGAGCUUUACGCCAGCCGCCUGCUGGAGUUAGGGCCCAAAUGAAUACACAGAAACUUGUAUUAGGUACAAUGCUGCUUGGCCAAUGACUAGGAUUCCUCAUCUGUUAGCUCAGUCUCAAUUAUCAUAAACAUAUAUUUUAUAAGACUUAUCUUAUCGGACACCUUAUUGGCUUCCCUCCUUGUCGGUGGAUCACAUGGUGCCACUGGAGCAGGAGCCGAGGGGAAAAAAGAGAAAACUUCCCGUUUCUCCUCGCUCAAAUAUGUCACUUCCUGCCUAGACCACCACUUCUCUACUACAUCUCCCAGAAUCCUCUUUGACUCCUAGUUCCGUCUAACUUGCUGUCUCAUUGGCCAAACAGUAUUUUAUUCAACAAUCAAUAAGAUAAACAUACACAGUACAUUCCCCAUCAUCUCCUCUUUUCUGUCUAAAUAAAAGGAUAACUUAUCUUUUAUAAUAACUGAAGAAAACUAUAACCAUAACUACCUGUCUUCAAUUCUAUCAAAGACCACAGAAGGAUAAUAUAUAAACUCUAGAAUUGACAGAGACAUCUCACUGCCUGGACAGUCACCCAAAGUUCCUCUCUAAUGGGGCAUCCAUCUUCAGCCAUAGGCCACAGUGUGUCUGGCACACUUCUCCAUUUCAACAGGAACCCUUCAGUACUGUCUUGUUUUGUAAGUUCAGCAGUCAUUUUCUUGUGGGUCCUGUAUGUCUAGUUUAUACAGCAACAAACAGUCCAGUCAAGAGCAGUUUCUUGUCCAAAUGGCUAAUCUUGUCAUGUUGAAAGCAAAUUCCAUAACAAGUUUCUUCGAAGCCCAUCCUCCUUUCUGACGUAAUUGGUGUGCCAGGAGCAGUUGUGUCUCACUGCCAAGAAAAGCCCUAAACCAUUUAAAUGCCUUUUUCUGUAGGUCUUUGAAAGGUUUGAAUACAUCUAUCCGUUUCAAAUACAUCUCUGUAAAUCUAGAAAACCUAACUAACCUAAUUAUAAGUUCUGACUAUUAUAGGUAAAAGAUCUGUAUAAACAGAAUACCUAAACAAGAGGAGACGUAUACAUAUCACAAAAUUGACCUUAAAGUUGUAUCAAUAAAUGAAAAUCUAUACCAAUGCAAAGUAUUAAUUCCUAUAUCCUAUUCCCCUUUUUUCUUUAAAAAAAUUGACUAUGCUCCUUAUCAUUUAUAUCUAACCCCAUUUAAAUGAAAACAAACUUUUAUAAACAAUAUUUGGGAAUAUGGGCGUCGUUCUUUCUAAACUGCUUCCUGCUGAUUGGGGGCGAUGUUCAUAUACCAUGGGGAUCAUGAUAAAACAUAGAAACCUGACCAAGUCCUUGUUUUUGUAGUCAGUAAGGCUGUAUCGUCUCAGCUUCAGGGGGUCUUGUUUGAUCAAACCAUAAUAGUCUGGAAGGAAUCCACAGCUUUUCAUUUUCUGUGGAAAUACAAGCAAAACCUUUAUUUCUAAGUAGCCUGUCCUUAAACUUAAAUUUUGAAGUUAGAGCAUUUUUAAAAUGUAUAAGUUGGAUUAAUUUAGCAGCAUUUAUAAUCAAAUGUAUUUUAGCAGCAAUAAGUCUUUCCUCGGCAAUCAAACAAUUUAAAGACAACAAUAUGGCAUUUAGUAUCCAGAUUCUCUCUGUAUUUUUCAUCUUUAUGUGGCUUCUUUAUUACUUUACUUUUACUUUCUUUUUUUUCUUUCUGAGACAGGGUUCCUCUGAGGAAAUCCGCCUGCCUCUGCUUCCUUCAGCAAAUCCUACAGGUGUGUGCCACCACAACUGGCUAAUCUAUUUCUUCCUGUUAUUUUUUCCUCUCACAAGCCUACAUAUAUUUUUUAAUAUAGUGUAAACCUUUAGAGGUUUUUCUUUAUCUGGAUCUGACUUUAUCAUCUUGGGAGUGCCGAGUCUAAACCCCAGAAGCUCUGGGAUGGCGCGAGCAUAUGGAAGCUGCUCUGAUGCCUCUCAGCGGCCGGACAGGGCAGGCUGUGGCGGCAGGUUUACUUCUUUCUCUGGAAACCUUGGGGCAUGGAGUCAUCCCACUUCUGACACCAUUCUGUUACGAUAAAUCUUUCUACCAUAAGCUGCCUGAGCCCUACCGCCACGUGUGAGCUUUACGCCAGUUGCCCACCCGAGUUACGGCCCAAAUGAUUACACAGCAACUUGUAUUAGGUACAAUGCUGCUUGGCCAAUGACUAGGAUUCCUCAUCUGUUAGCUCAGUCUCAAUUAUCAUAAACAUAUAUUUUAUAAGACUUAUCUUAUCGGACACCUUAUUGGCGUCCCUCCUUGUCAGUGGAUCACAUCAUGGCGCUGGAGCAGGAGCCGAGGGGAAAAAGAGCGAACUUCCCAUUUCUCCUCGCUCAAAUAUGAGUCUCCUUGCUAUGUCACUUCCUG